AGAGUUUGAUCCUGGCUCAGGAUGAACGCUAGCGGCAGGCUUAACACAUGCAAGUCGAGGGGUAGCAGGAAAAAGCUUGCUUUUUUGCUGACGACCGGCGCACGGGUGCGUAACGCGUAUGCAAUCUACCUUUUGCUGAGGGAUAGCCCAGAGAAAUUUGGAUUAAUACCUCAUAGUAUGAUGACUUGGCAUCAAGAUAUCAUUAAAGGUUACGGCAAAAGAUGAGCAUGCGUUCUAUUAGCUAGUUGGUGUGGUAACGGCAUACCAAGGCAACGAUAGAUAGGGGUCCUGAGAGGGAGAUCCCCCACACUGGUACUGAGACACGGACCAGACUCCUACGGGAGGCAGCAGUGAGGAAUAUUGGACAAUGGAGGCAACUCUGAUCCAGCCAUGCCGCGUGCAGGAAGACUGCCCUAUGGGUUGUAAACUGCUUUUAUACAGGAAGAAACACCUCUACGUGUAGAGGCUUGACGGUACUGUAAGAAUAAGGAUCGGCUAACUCCGUGCCAGCAGCCGCGGUAAUACGGAGGAUCCAAGCGUUAUCCGGAAUCAUUGGGUUUAAAGGGUCCGUAGGUGGAUAAUUAAGUCAGAGGUGAAAUCCUGCAGCUUAACUGUAGAAUUGCCUUUGAUACUGGUUGUCUUGAGUUAUUAUGAAGUGGUUAGAAUAUGUAGUGUAGCGGUGAAAUGCAUAGAUAUUACAUAGAAUACCAAUUGCGAAGGCAGAUCACUAAUAAUAUACUGACACUGAUGGACGAAAGCGUGGGGAGCGAACGGGAUUAGAUACCCCGGUAGUCCACGCCGUAAACGAUGGUCACUAGCUGUUCGGAUUUCGGUCUGAGUGGCUAAGCGAAAGUGAUAAGUGACCCACCUGGGGAGUACGUUCGCAAGAAUGAAACUCAAAGGAAUUGACGGGGGCCCGCACAAGCGGUGGAGCAUGUGGUUUAAUUCGAUGAUACGCGAGGAACCUUACCAGGGCUUAAAUGUGGUCUGACAGCUUUAGAGAUAGAGUUUUCUUCGGACAGAUCACAAGGUGCUGCAUGGUUGUCGUCAGCUCGUGCCGUGAGGUGUCAGGUUAAGUCCUAUAACGAGCGCAACCCCUGUUGUUAGUUGCCAGCGAGUAAUGUCGGGAACUCUAGCAAGACUGCCGGUGCAAAC
rnacentral:rRNA from 1 species